UGCUUGCUGACGUAACAGUGACGCUGGGCUUUGGAAAGAUCUGCUCAGGGUCGGAAGCAGCAGGUUUCACUCUUGGGUUUUCCUUCCUGGGUCUAUGAAGGAGAAGCAUUGCAGGGAAGAGGUCACGUAUCAGAAAACAUCAUUUUCAGAAGUCCUCAGAUGGGGAUAAGAGAAGCUGAUUCUCUCCUGACUAACUCCUGACUCCUAGCCCCUAAGUAAGGCACACAGACAUGACUUUCACUUGGGACGUGCCCAUCCUGUGGACAAGCAGACAGGCCAUUCGUCUAGACACAUGUGGAGACUUGAGAACGAAAACUGGGCAUUUUUUCCCUCUCCCCACUUUCUCCCCUGGACCCUCGCCAAAUCUACGCAAGCAAGCAAGCAAGUGGCUGGGCUGGGCGGCAGGAGGCUCGGUGCACGAUGGUUCCAGCUCUUAAUCGGGGAUGGCACACAUCUUCACACUGGCCCUGUGCAGCUGAACUUUCGCCCUAGUUGGUUUAAAUCCAGCAAACAGCCGCGAUUUGUUCUAAUUUAUCAUUCCGGACUGCGCUGUGAGGUUUGUGUCAUUACUCUUCCGUUUUAAUGUCAUAUAUUUUGAACUGAUUGACUUCUCCAAAAACUUAUGGUUAUUACUUAAGAGAAAAGAACUGAGAGAAAGUUUUCUUGCACUUGGAUGAGAAGAGGCGGGGAACUGUCCGCACCUUUGUCUAUCUGAAUGGGGUAUUGGGAGGCGGGUGGAGGCAACAGCUUCCUUCUUUGUCUUUCAAAAAGUAAAAUUUAGGGGCACCUGGGUGGGUCAGUUCUUAAGCAUCU